rnacentral:rRNA from 1 species
AACGAACGCUGGCGGCAGGCCUUACACAUGCAAGUCGAACGGCAGCACGGGAGCAAUCCUGGUGGCGAGUGGCGAACGGGUGAGUAAUAUAUCGGAACGUGCCCGGUCGUGGGGGGAUAACGUAGCGAAAGCUACGCUAAUACCGCAUACGAUCUAUGGAUGAAAGCGGGGGAUCGCAAGACCUCGCGCGAUUGGAGCGGCCGAUAUCAGAUUAGGUAGUUGGUGAGGUAAAAGGCUCACCAAGCCGACGAUCGGUAGCUGGUCUGAGAGGAUGACCAGCCACACUGGGACUGAGACACGGUCCAGACUCCUACGGGAGGCAGCAGUGGGGAAUAUUGGACAAUGGGCGAAAGACCUGAUCCAGCAAUGCCGCGUGAGUGAUGAAGGC